AUUGAACGCUGGCGGCAGGCCUAACACAUGCAAGUCGAGCGGAUGAGGGGAGCUUGCUCCUGGAUUCAGCGGCGGACGGGUGAGUAAUGCCUAGGAAUCUGCCUGGUAGUGGGGGAUAACGUCCGGAAACGGGCGCUAAUACCGCAUACGUCCUGAGGGAGAAAGUGGGGGAUCUUCGGACCUCACGCUAUCAGAUGAGCCUAGGUCGGAUUAGCUAGUUGGUGGGGUAAAGGCCUACCAAGGCGACGAUCCGUAACUGGUCUGAGAGGAUGAUCAGUCACACUGGAACUGAGACACGGUCCAGACUCCUACGGGAGGCAGCAGUGGGGAAUAUUGGACAAUGGGCGAAAGCCUGAUCCAGCCAUGCCGCGUGUGUGAAGAAGGUCUUCGGAUUGUAAAGCACUUUAAGUUGGGAGGAAGGGCAGUAAGUUAAUACCUUGCUCUUUUGACGUUACCAACAGAAUAAGCACCGGCUAACUUCGUG
rnacentral:rRNA from 1 species